ACCAACAGCCCUUUGUGGAAACAACCAGAACUGUCUCCACACCAAGGCAAAUCUGAACCAAAGGGUUUUACUAGUAUUUUCAUGGAGGUCCAUGUCUCUCCUACACUGAGGACUCCACAUCUGGAUGCAGCACUCCAGGUAUCCACAGCUAACAACAGAAUAGAACCAAGACAAAAAAGUAAAGAUGACUGCUGGAGAGACAACGGUAAACAGAGCAAAAGGAAAUGCCAACGAAUAAAAGACAUGAUAGCAUCAAGGUUGAGACCAGAAGAAAAGACGUCCAUAAAGAUUUUGCAUGAUUACUAUCUGGUUUGCUACUCUUUUGGGUGUGUUCAAUUAUUACCAUGAAAGAUGAUAGAAUCAAAACCUGAGCUGAGUAAAGAACAAAAUGAGCAUUUAGCCUCCUUUUCUCUUCUUCCUCAUCUUCUGAAUUGUCUGUGGAAUUAAUAAUUCCUUCCAUUUUGAGUUUCUCUUUUUCAUUUCCUCGUACACUGUGGUAGAUCUACCCUUCUCAUUAAAUGCAUUUCUUCAAUUCACACCAUGCGCCCAUUUUUAACAGAAGGCAGUUAAGUACAGCUAGGCAAAAAAAAAGUUAGUUUCCC